CAAAUACUUUUUUAGUUUAAUUUUUUAUCAUGUAUGUACUGGGAAGCUGCCUUGCCAAAAUCUUGGAUAGGUCUGAAAUGUUCUUCCUAAACCCUUUGUCUCCUUGUGAAGCACAGAGCAUUAACAAUUCUUCUCCACCGCUCUCUGUUUUGGGACGCUUAACUCAAGGUCUUCUUACUAGCCUCUUAUUUCCUUUUUUUCUUACUAGCUUUUUCCAGAGCUUCCAAUCACAUCUCAUGUGCUGAUUAAGGUAAAAGCUCUGAAAAAAGCAAACUAAGCCAAUUUGUUCUGCGAUUUUAAAAAAAAGAAAAAAAAGUUGUAACUAGUCCUUGAGGUAAGAUCGUCUUGUCAAAAUACACCCUGUGGUGUGAAUGUGUGUGGUUAAUGUAGAAGAGAUAUGAAUGCAUUACUGUUUGAUUUCAUACAUUUUCAUAAGUUACGUCUCGUGUUGUGUAAUCAGAAUCAGAAUCAGCUUUUUUUUCCACGUAGGAGGACAGAUAUGAGGAAUUUUUGCUUAAGGUCAUCAUUGCUCACAAUGCACUUACUCAUACAAAACAACCAAACAAUAUAUACACACUAAUAUACACAAAAACAGAAACAAAAUAAACAGGUUGAGGUAAUAGUGCAAUGAAGGAGUAAAAUGCAGGAGUAAAUUAUGAUAUUUUAAUUGUGGCGCAUAGUACGCAUAGAGAAUAAGGAUGAUGAAUAAAUGUUGAAUGAUGAAUUAUGUUCUUACUUAUACAGUACUAAGAUGGUUCCAUGGUUAAUAUGUAUUAACACUUGGUGCACUCAGUAAUUGGCCCUAUCAUCUUGUUAUAUUUCCCUCAUAUCCACAGUGUUUAUUGCAAGUAAAGUUGUAUUGCUAU